GUUCUUUCUCAAGGUUAAAAUAGAGCUGGUGGAGAAGACUGUUUCUGCUGUUUGUGCCCUCAGGAUAUGAGCACAGGGCCACUGGAAGCCUUGUUUCCCUACUCUGUGGAGGAUGUCUGUCUGCACUUAGAAUAGAGCUGGGUCAACGUGUGGUUGGCAGAAUUCUAAGGACGCCCCCGCACACUUGUCUUCCAGAUAUUCAGUCAAAAGCGAAUCCAGACAUUGCUCCGAAGGGACUUUUCAGAUGGAAUUAAGAUUACUAAUCAGCUAACACUAAAAUAGGGAGAUCAUCCUGGAUUAUCCGGAUGGACCCAGUGUCAUCUCGUGAGACUUUAAAUGACAAAGAGGAAGGAGCCAGCAGUCAGCGCUGAAGAAGAGUGGAGCCGAGAGAGACUCCAGGUGUGGAAGGGGCUCAACCCUAGGUGUUAGCUUUAAGAUGCCGAAGCAGCCAGGAGUCACCAGUGUGGAAGGCAUCAGGACACUGAGAGAGACCCCAGCGGACAGCCAGCACAAAACAAGGCCUCAGUGCCACAGAGGCAAGGAGCUGGAAUCAACCACCACAUGAAUGACCUGGAAGCUAAUUCAUCCCUGAGCCCCCACAAAGUCACAUAGGCCCCCUGACUUCUUGAUUUCAGCCUUAGGAAAACAUGGAGCACAUACCAGCCAAGCCCACUCAGACUUCUGACCUACCAACUUCCAGAUAAUACAUUUGUGUUGUGUGGCCUACAUUUGUGGUGAUUUGUUCUGGCUGCAAUAGAAAAUGAAUACAAAAUACACCAAAUCUAACUAAUUUGUUACUAUGGUAGUAGAAAGAACCAGUUUACUAAAAGAAAAAAAGAAAGCAAAAAAAGAAAAUGAACUAAAAAUGUUACUUUAUUUCUGAUAGCCCAUAUACACAGCCACACCAAGUGGCAACUUUUCUAUUAGGACUGGAGCAAGCCAGUGCUUUAGGUGACACAGCCUUGUAUUGUAUUGCUAGGCACAGACCAGGUCAGCCCAUGCUUUUAUCCCAGACUCAAUCCCACUGUGCCAGAACUUAGUCUAGUAUUAAGUCUUAACACUCAGAAAACUGCUUUGCAUUGUGUGAGGCUAAAUAGAUGUGAAUUUCCUACAGACGCACACACAUCCUACAACAGUAAGUUGUUAAGGGUGGGGAGACUUCAGCAAAUGCUUCAUCGCUAAUUUUGGUUGGCUGGUCAAAU
rnacentral:lncRNA from 10 species